AUUUAUAUAGUUUAAAAAACAUUACAUUUUCACUGUAAAAUUAUACUUUUGUAUUAUAAAUA
rnacentral:tRNA from 1 species